rnacentral:rRNA from 1 species
ACGUAGGUGGCGAGCGUUGUCCGGAAUUACUGGGUGUAAAGGGAGCGCAGGCGGGGAGACAAGUCAGCCGUGAAAACUACUGGCUUAAAUGGGAGAGUGCAGUUGAAACUGUUUUUCUUGAGUGGAGCAGAGGCAGGCGGAAUUCCGAGUGUAGCGGUGAAAUGCGUAGAUAUUAGGAGGAACACCAGUGGCGAAGGCGACUUUCUGGACUGUAACUGACACUGAGGUACGAAAGCGUGGGGAGCAAACAG